GGGGCGGUAGCUCAGUGGUUAGAGCAACCGACUCAUAAUCGGUCAGGCGUGGGUUCGAUCCCCACCCGCCCCA
rnacentral:tRNA from 1 species